AGAGAAUGAUAAAGGAAAAUGCUUUGUUUCGCGGGAGAGUUUAUCCUGACUAGAUCACGAACAGUGUUGAUAUUUUAGUAUAUCUGGCCCACGUUCUCUCCACCAAACCAUGAUGAAAUAUUUUAAAGUUAAUCAGAAUGCAAAAUGUUGCCCUAUAUUUAACCUAAUUUUAAUGGUUAAUUUUAAUGUAUUACCGUUAUUUAAUUAACCCUAACAAACUCCCUCUAGAUGGUGAACGUGAUAAUUAAUUGGUAUCAUCUCUCGUAACAUAACCCAUCUUCUUCCUCUUUUCCCUUAACCAAAUCAAACUCUCUCUCUCUCUCUCUCGAUUACUUGGUCCUUCCCAGCAAGCUAUGACCAUGUUCGUCUCUCUCUCUCUGCUAUGCAUGUUUCCCUCUUCUCGCCCCCACUGCUCUCAUCUGCUUCUUCUAUCGAUCUCAUAUUAAAGAAGAGUUUUUGAAGAUACAGUGAGUGCUCAAAUUUCGAAAUCGUUGGGACUUAAUACAUUUGAAAAUGUUGAGGAUUCUGAUGAUGAUGAAACACAACUUGGCGAUGGUAAUCACAUUCCUUUCUUCCAUGUGACUAGAGAUUCUUCAAAUUCUUAUUUUGUUUAUUGUUUGUUCUUUAUUACUUCUCUCCACUGUUGAAUCGAUGUCGCCAAAUGCUUAAUCAAAUUUGGCACUGAUCUCAUCCGUCAAGAUUGUUGGAAAAACAUGGACACCAACCUUUGUUUGAUGGACCAUCAUUUGAUUUGGGAAUUGAAGAAGACACAGAGAAUUUGUCACUUCUUAUUGUGGAAGACACAUUAGAUAAAGAGGUGGAGAGUGACCAAGAUCAAGAAGUAAUUUCUCAAAUUGAUAACGAGGUAAAAUGCUUAAAAACAAAGUCAUCAAAUGGAAUGGAAGGUGAAUCUAAUGCAAGGGAGGAGAAACAUGGUUUAGAUUUGCAAGUUAUUGAACCCUAUGAUAUAAGGUUUUUGGAUUUGAACAGGGUUGAUUUGGAUUUGAAUAAAUUUCCAGAAGAGGGAUUGGACUUUGGAUAUGAAAAUGAAGAAUUGAAUGAAGAGGUUCAUUGGUGGCUGAAGAUUUUUGUGGAUUCUUCAUACUAGACGUCAUUGAAAAUAAAGCAAGGCAAAUUAUGAAUAAUUAUGUUGUGUGUUUCUUUUCUAUCUUUGGCUAAUCAUUCAUAAUUUGAUACUACAUGGAAUUGAAUGAAUUGUAUCUUCUUCUAUUAUUUGAAUUAAUGGAAUUGGCUAAUAUCUUCA